GUAGGUGGCAAGCGUUGUCCGGAAUUAUUGGGCGUAAAGCGCGCGCAGGCGGUUCUUUAAGUCUGAUGUGAAAGCCCACGGCUCAACCGUGGAGGGUCAUUGGAAACUGGAGAACUUGAGUACAGAAGAGGAAAGCGGAAUUCCACGUGUAGCGGUGAAAUGCGUAGAGAUGUGGAGGAACACCAGUGGCGAAGGCGGCUUUCUGGUCUGUAACUGACGCUGAAGCGCGAAAGCGUGGGGAGCAAACAGGGAUUAGAUACCCUGGUGGUCCACGCCGUAAACGAUGAGUGCUAAGUGUUAGGGGGGUUUCCGCCCCCCUUAGUGCUGCAGCUAACGCAUUAAGCACUCCGCCUGGGGAGUACGGCCGCAAGGCUG
rnacentral:rRNA from 1 species